rnacentral:rRNA from 1 species
AUGAACGCUAGCGAGACGCCUAACACAUGCAAGUCGAAUGCUUCGCUUGCGAAGCAUGGCAAACGGGUGCGUAACACGUGCUUAACCUGCCCCGGAGUGGGGGAUACCUGUGGAAACACAACUAAUCCCGCAUACGCUCUACAAUAUGAAAAUUGUAGAGGAAAGAUUUAUCGCUCUGGGAGGGGGGCGCGGCCUAUUAGCUAGUUGGUGAGGUAAUAGCUCACCAAGGCAAUGAUGGGUAGCUGGUCUGAGAGGAUGAUCAGCCACAAUGGAACUGAGACACGGUCCAUACCCCUACGGGGGGCAGCAGUGGGGAAUCUUGC